rnacentral:rRNA from 1 species
AGAGUUGAUUAUGGCUCAGGAUGAACGCUGGCGGCGUGCUUAACACAUGCAAGUCGAACGAAGCAUGUAAAACAAUCCUUCGGGUGCGUUUUAUAUGACUGAGUGGCGGACGGGUGAGUAACGCGUGGGGAACCUACCGUAUGCAGGGGGACAACAGUCAGAAAUGACUGCUAAUACCGCAUAAGCACACAAUGCUGCAUGGCAUGGUGUGAAAAGAUUUAUCGGCAUACGAUGGCCCCGCGUCUGAUUAGCCAGUUGGCAGGGUAACGGCCUACCAAAGCAACGAUCAGUAGCCGGCUUGAGAGAGUGACCGGCCACAUUGGGACUGAGACACGGCCCAGACUCCUACGGGAGGCAGCAGUGGGGAAUAUUGCACAAUGGGGGAAACCCUGAUGCAGCGACGCCGCGUGAGUGAUGAAGUAUUUCGGUAUGUAAAGCUCUAUCAGCAGGGAAGAUAAUGACGGUACCUGACUAAGAAGCUCCGGCUAAAUACGUGCCAGCAGCCGCGGUAAUACGUAUGGAGCAAGCGUUAUCCGGAUUUACUGGGUGUAAAGGGAGCGCAGACGGCAAGGCAAGUCUGAAGUGAAAGUCCGGGGCUCAACCCCGGGACU